AAGCAAAAUUCCAUUGACCAUUGUUCCUAGAAUUUUGGCAAGCAAUGGUAUCCUACAGGUGUUCUCGCAGCCUGCCUUGUGGGGAUGUUCAACCAGGAAGUGGGUCCAUAAACAGGACAGAACCACACAGACACAAGCCAUGUGAGGAAAUCCCCAAGGAAUUGGAAAAAGGGAGAAGGAUUGAAAAAACACAGGUUUUGGUGACAAAAGCAGCUCUACCUUUUAUCAACUGUGAGAUGUCUGGUAAGCAGUUCCAUUGUGCUAACCAGUUUACCAGGGAAAAUGACACAGAGUUUCCUUAGGUUACUAUGAGA
rnacentral:lncRNA from 1 species